UACGUAGGGGGCAAGCGUUAUCCGGAUUUACUGGGUGUAAAGGGAGCGUAGACGGCGAUGCAAGUCUGAAGUGAAAGGCGGGGGCCCAACCCUUGGACUGCUUUGGAAACUGUAUGGCUGGAGUGCAGGAGAGGUAAGUGGAAUUCCUAGUGUAGCGGUGAAAUGCGUAGAUAUUAGGAGGAACACCAGUGGCGAAGGCGGCUUACUGGACUGUAACUGACGUUGAGGCUCGAAAGCGUGGGGAGCAAACAGG
rnacentral:rRNA from 1 species